rnacentral:rRNA from 1 species
GACGAACCGUGCGAACGUUGUUCGGAAUCACUGGGCUUAAAGGGCGCGUAGGCGGGGUCGUAAGUCUGUGGUGAAAUCCGUCGGCUCAACCGGCGAAUGGCCGUGGAUACUGCGACCCUCGAGGGGUGUAGGGGCAUGCGGAACUCAGGGUGGAGCGGUGAAAUGCGUAGAGAUCCUGAGGAACGCCGGUGGCGAAAGCGGCGUGCUGGACACCUACUGACGCUGAGGCGCGAAAGCCAGGGGAGCAAACGGG